rnacentral:rRNA from 1 species
CAGCAGCCGCGGUAAUACGGAAGGUCCGGGCGUUAUCCGGAUUUAUUGGGUUUAAAGGGAGCGUAGGCCGUGGAUUAAGCGUGUUGUGAAAUGCAGGUGCUCAACGUCUGCACUGCAGCGCGAACUGGUCCACUUGAGUGUGCGCAACGCAGGCGGAAUUCGUCGUGUAGCGGUGAAAUGCUUAGAUAUGACGAAGAACUCCGAUUGCGAAGGCAGCUUGCGGGAGCACAACUGACGCUGAAGCUCGAAAGUGCGGGUAUCGAACAGGAUUAGAUACCCUGGUAGUCCGCAUGGUAAACGAUGGAUGCCCGUUGUCAGGCUGUUUCAGCCUGGUGACCAAGCGAAAGCAUUAAGCAUCCCACCUGGGGAGUACGCCGGCAACGGUGAAACUCAAAGGAAUUGACGGGGGCCCGCACAAGCGGAGGAACAUGUGGUUUAAUUCGAUGAUACGCGAGGAACCUUACCCGGGCUUGAAUUGCAGACGAACGAUUCAGAGAUGAUGAGGCCCUUCGGGGCGUCUGUGAAGGUGCUGCAUGGUUGUCGUCAGCUCGUGCCGUGAGGUGUCGGCUUAAGUGCCAUAACGAGCGCAACCCCUUUCUUCAGUUGCCAUCAGGUAAUGCUGGGCACUCUGUAGAUACUGCCACCGCAAGGUGUGAGGAAGGUGGGGAUGACGUCAAAUCAGCACGGCCCUUACGUCCGGGGCUACACACGUGUUACAAUGGCCGGUACAGAGAGUUGAUUUUGUGCAAACACGAUCUAAUCCUUAAAUCCGGUCCCAGUUCGGACUGGGGUCUGCAACCCGACCCCACGAAGCUGGAUUCGCUAGUAAUCGCGCAUCAGCCAUGGCGCGGUGAAUACGUUCCCGGGCCUUGUACACACCGCCCGUCAAGCCAUGAAAGCCGGGGGUGCCUGAAGUCUGUGACCGCAAGGAACGGCCUAGGGCAAAACCGGUGAUUGGGGCUAAGUCGUAACAAGGUAGCCGU